UACAGAGGGUGCGAGCGUUGUCCGGAAUCACUGGGCGUAAAGGGCGCGUAGGUGGUGGCUUAAGCGUGCGGUGAAAGCUCGGGGCUCAACCCCGAGUCGGCCGUGCGAACUGGGCUCACUGGAGCAUAGUAGAGGCAGGUGGAAUUCCGGGUGUAGCGGUGGAAUGCGUAGAGAUCCGGAAGAACACCGGUGGCGAAGGCGGCCUGCUGGGCUAUGGCUGACGCUGAGGAGCGAAAGUGUGGGGAGCGAACAGG
rnacentral:rRNA from 1 species